UGAAGGAGAGACCUUUGAGUCCCAGACAAGGUGGGCUCUGAGCUGGACCAUGAAGGGAAGAGUCAGAGGAGAAGCUGUUCUGGGAUGCCCAGACGCGCGUCAGUCCCUCCAGCUGGGAGCAGUGCCUGGAGACUCUCUUCUCAAAGCCUCGGUUCCAGCUACUUGCAGGGCCCCACAACCGUUCCCCUGCUGGGGACCUCUGGAAAGGUCUUACCUGGACGAAAAUGAGGAUGAAACUAACACCCUACAUCAGGGUUCUCGAUAAGUGAUACUGUCUUUCUAAUCCCAGUUGUUCCUGACCCUGGCCCCAUGCAGACCAGAGACCUCCCUCCCGUGUCUGCCCUUGUGGACAGCUCCUCACCCACCCUCUCCAGGUCUUGUGAGAAAAAUAGAACAAAAAAUCAAAUAAAUA